UAAAUAUUGUUUCAUACGGUC
rnacentral:piRNA from 1 species